GGUCACGGGAAUCCCCAUGAACUGCUCUGUGAAACUGCAGCUGAGCCUCUACAUGAAAUCUGUCGCAGGCAUUGGACAAACUGGGAAGAUUGAGCCUGUGGUCCUGCCGCUGCUCUGGUUUGCAGAGAGCGGGGCCAUGGAGGGGGAGACUCUUCACACAUUCUACACUCAGCUGGUGUUGAUGCCCAAGGUGAUGCACUAUGCCCAGUACGUCCUCCUGGCGCUGGGCUGCGUCCUGCUGCUGGUCCCUGUCAUCUGCCAAAUCCGGAGCCAAGUAGGACACCGUGAGCCAGCCAGGCCUGGCCGCUGGGCCUGACCGGCCCCCCAGCCCCUACACCCCGCUUCUCCCGGACUCUCCCAGCGGACAGCCCCCCAGCCCCACAGCCUGAGCCUCCCAGCUGCCAUGUGCCUGUUGCACACCUGCACACACGCCCUGGCACACAUACACACAUGCGUGCAGGCUUGUGCAGACACUCAGGGAUGGAGCUGCUGCUGAAGGGACUUGUAGGGAGAGGCUCGUCAACAAGCACUGUUCUGGAACCUUCUCUCCACGUGGCCCACAGGCCUGACCACAGGGGCUGUGGGUCCUGCGUCCCCUUCCUCGGGUGAGCCUGGCCUGUCCCGUUCAGCCGUUGGGCCCAGGCUUCCUCCCCUCCAAGGUGAAACACUGCAGUCCCGGUGUGGUGGCUCCCCAUGCAGGACGGGCCAGGCUGGGAGUGCCGCCUUCCUGUGCCAAAUUCAGUGGGGACUCAGUGCCCAGGCCCUGGCCACGAGCUUUGGCCUUGGUCUACCUGCCAGGCCAGGCAAAGCGCCUUUACACAGGCCUCGGAAAACAAUGGAGUGAGCACAAGAUGCCCUGUGCAGCUGCCCGAGGGUCUCCGCCCACCCCGGCCGGACUUUGAUCCCCCCGAAGUCUUCACAGGCACUGCAUCGGGUUGUCUGGCGCCCUUUUCCUCCAGCCUAAACUGACAUCAUCCUAUGGACUGAGCCGGCCACUCUCUGGCCGAAGUGGCCGCAGGCUGUGCCCCCGAGCUGCCCCCACCCCCUCACAGGGUCCCUCAGAUUAUAGGUGCCCAGGCUGAGGUGAAGAGGCCUGGGGGCCCUGCCUUCCGGGCGCUCCUGGACCCUGGGGCAAACCUGUGACCCUUUUCUACUGGAAUAGAAAUGAGUUUUAUCAUCUUUGAAAAAUAAUUCACUCUUGAAGUAAUAAACGUUUAAAAA
rnacentral:lncRNA from 1 species